rnacentral:rRNA from 1 species
AUGCGGGGCUUCUUGCUCUGCAAUUGGAAUGAGAACAAUUUAAAUCACUUAACGAGUAUCAAUUGGAGGGCAAGUCUGGUGCCAGCAGCCGCGGUAAUUCCAGCUCCAAUAGCGUAUAUGUAAGUUGUUGCGAUUAAAAAGCCCGUAGCUGAACCUCGGGCAACCCUGACGGUCCGCGUUUCGUGAGUACUGUCGUGGGUUGUCUUUCUGGCAAGACCGUAUCUCGGUGUUAACUCGCCGGGAACGGCGCUUGCCAAGGUUACUUUGAGUAAAAUAGAGUGUUCAAAGCAAGCUCGCGCUCUGAAUACACUAGCAUGGGAUAACACGACAUGACCGAUGGUCUAUCUUGUUGGCCUGUAGACCUGUUGGUAAUGGCUAAUAGGGACGGUCGGGGGCAUUCGUAUUUCGCUGUCAGAGGUGAAAUUCUUGGAUUUGCGAAAGACGAACUACUGCGAAAGCAUUUGCCAAGGACGCUUUCAUUAGUCAAGGACGAAAGUCGGGGAUCGAAGACGAUAGAUACCUCGU